rfam:Bacillus cereus ATCC 14579, complete genome.
UUGAGCCGUAUGAUGGGAAACUGUCACGUACGGUUCUGAGGGGAGUUGGGGGCAGCGAUGCCCCCCGCUUACCCGAC